rnacentral:rRNA from 1 species
UACGUAGGGUGCGAGCGUUAAUCGGAAUUACUGGGCGUAAAGCGUGCGCAGGCGGUUUUGUAAGUCCGAUGUGAAAUCCCCGGGCUUAACCUGGGAAUGGCAUUUGGGACUGUAAGGCUGGAGUGUGGCAGAGGAGACUGGAAUUCCUGGUGUAGCAGUGAAAUGCGUAGAUAUCAGGAGGAAUACCGAUGGCGAAGGCAGGUCUCUGGGCUGACACUGACGCUGAGGCGCGAAAGCGUGGGGAGCAAACAGG